rnacentral:rRNA from 3 species
UAAACGACUCUCGGCAACGGAUAUCUCGGCUCUCGCAUCGAUGAAGAACGUAGCGAAAUGCGAUACUUGGUGUGAAUUGCAGAAUCCCGUGAACCAUCGAGUCUUUGAACGCAAGUUGCGCCCGAAGCCAUUAGGCUGAGGGCACGCCUGCCUGGGCGUCACAC